rnacentral:rRNA from 1 species
GAUGAACGCUGGCGGCGUGCCUAAUACAUGCAAGUCGAGCGAACGGACGAGAAGCUUGCUUCUCUGAUGUUAGCGGCGGACGGGUGAGUAACACGUGGAUAACCUACCUAUAAGGCUGGGAUAACUUCGGGAAACCGGAGCUAAUACCGGAUAAUAUUUUGAACCGCAUGGUUCAAAAGUGAAAGACGGUCUUGCUGUCACUUAUAGAUGGAUCCGCGCUGCAUUAGCUAGUUGGUAAGGUAACGGCUUACCAAGGCAACGAUGCAUAGCCGACCUGAGAGGGUGAUCGGCCACACUGGAACUGAGACACGGUCCAGACUCCUACGGGAGGCAGCAGUAGGGAAUCUUCCGCAAGGGGCGAAAGCCUGACGGAGCAACGCCGCGUGAGUGAUGAAGGUCUUCGGAUCGUAAAACUCUGUUAUUAGGGAAGAACAUAUGUGUAAGUAACUGUGCACAUCUUGACGGUACCUAAUCAGAAAGCCACGGCUAACUACGUG